rnacentral:rRNA from 1 species
UGGGGAAUAUUGCACAAUGGGGGAAACCCUGAUGCAGCGACGCCGCGUGAGUGAAGAAGGUUUUCGGAUCGUAAAACUCUGUCCUUGGUGAAGAAAAAAAUGACGGUAGCCAAGGAGGAAGCCCCGGCUAACUACGUGCCAGCAGCCGCGGUAAUACGUAGGGGGCGAGCGUUGUCCGGAUUUACUGGGCGUAAAGGGUGAGUAGGCGGUUAUAUAUGUCAGGUGUAAAAGGCUAUGGCUUAACUAUAGUAAGCACUUGAAACUGUAUGACUUGAGUGCAGGAGAGGUAAGUGGAAUUCCUAGUGUAGCGGUGAAAUGCGUAGAUAUUAGGAGGAACACCAGUGGCGAAGGCGACUUACUGGACUGUAACUGACGCUGAGUCACGAAAGCGUGGGUAGCAAACAGG